GAUGAACGCUGGCGGCGUGCCUAAUACAUGCAAGUCGAGCGAACGGACGAGAAGCUUGCUUCUCUGAUGUUAGCGGCGGACGGGUGAGUAACACGUGGAUAACCUACCUAUAAGACUGGGAUAACUUCGGGAAACCGGAGCUAAUACCGGAUAAUAUUUUGAACCGCAUGGUUCAAAAGUGAAAGACGGUCUUGCUGUCACUUAUAGAUGGAUCCGCGCUGCAUUAGCUAGUUGGUAAGGUAACGGCUUACCAAGGCAACGAUGCAUAGCCGACCUGAGAGGGUGAUCGGCCACACUGGAACUGAGACACGGUCCAGACUCCUACGGGAGGCAGCAGUAGGGAAUCUUCCGCAAUGGGCGAAAGCCUGACGGAGCAACGCCGCGUGAGUGAUGAAGGUCUUCGGAUCGUAAAACUCUGUUAUUAGGGAAGAACAUAUGUGUAAGUAACUGUGCACAUCUUGACGGUACCUAAUCAGAAAGCCACGGCUAACUACGUGCCAGCAGCCGCGGUAAUACGUAGGUGGCAAGCGUUAUCCGGAAUUAUUGGGCGUAAAGCGCGCGUAGGCGGUUUUUUAAGUCUGAUGUGAAAGCCCACGGCUCAACCGUGGAGGGUCAUUGGAAACUGGAAAACUUGAGUGCAGAAGAGGAAAGUGGAAUUCCAUGUGUAGCGGUGAAAUGCGCAGAGAUAUGGAGGAACACCAGUGGCGAAGGCGACUUUCUGGUCUGUAACUGACGCUGAUGUGCGAAAGCGUGGGGAUCAAACAGGAUUAGAUACCCUGGUAGUCCACGCCGUAAACGAUGAGUGCUAAGUGUUAGGGGGUUUCCGCCCCUUAGUGCUGCAGCUAACGCAUUAAGCACUCCGCCUGGGGAGUACGACCGCAAGGUUGAAACUCAAAGGAAUUGACGGGGACCCGCACAAGCGGUGGAGCAUGUGGUUUAAUUCGAAGCAACGCGAAGAACCUUACCAAAUCUUGACAUCCUUUGACAACUCUAGAGAUAGAGUUUUCCCCUUCGGGGGACAAAGUGACAGGUGGUGCAUGGUUGUCGUCAGCUCGUGUCGUGAGAUGUUGGGUUAAGUCCCGCAACGAGCGCAACCCUUAAGCUUAGUUGCCAUCAUUAAGUUGGGCACUCUAAGUUGACUGCCGGUGACAAACCGGAGGAAGGUGGGGAUGACGUCAAAUCAUCAUGCCCCUUAUGAUUUGGGCUACACACGUGCUACAAUGGACAAUACAAAGGGCAGCGAAACCGCGAGGUCAAGCAAAUCCCAUAAAGUUGUUCUCAGUUCGGAUUGUAGUCUGCAACUCGACUACAUGAAGCUGGAAUCGCUAGUAAUCGUAGAUCAGCAUGCUACGGUGAAUACGUUCCCGGGUCU
rnacentral:rRNA from 1 species